rnacentral:rRNA from 1 species
AACGAACGCUGGCGGCAGGCCUAACACAUGCAAGUCGAGCGAGGACUUCGGUCCUAGCGGCGGACGGGUGAGUAACGCGUGGGAACGUGCCCUUUGCUACGGAAUAGCCCCGGGAAACUGGGAGUAAUACCGUAUGUGCCCUUCGGGGGAAAGAUUUAUCGGCAAAGGAUCGGCCCGCGUUGGAUUAGGUAGUUGGUGGGGUAAUGGCCUACCAAGCCGACGAUCCAUAGCUGGUUUGAGAGGAUGAUCAGCCACACUGGGACUGAGACACGGCCCAGACUCCUACGGGAGGCAGCAGUGGGGAAUCUUAGACAAUGGGGGAAACCCUGAUCUAGCCAUGCCGCGUGAGCGAUGAAGGCCUUAGGGUUGUAAAGCUCUUUCAGUGGGGAAGAUAAUGACGGUACCCACAGAAGAAGCCCCGGCUAACUCCGUGCCAGCAGCCGCCGUAA